UGAAGUCUCAUCGCACAUUUG
rnacentral:piRNA from 1 species